GCAAGUCGAGCGGACAGAUGGGAGCUUGCUCCCUGAUGUUAGCGGCGGACGGGUGAGUAACACGUGGGUAACCUGCCUGUAAGACUGGGAUAACUCCGGGAAACCGGGGCUAAUACCGGAUGCUUGAUUGAACCGCAUGGUUCAAUUAUAAAAGGUGGCUUUUAGCUACCACUUACAAAUGGACCCGCGGCGCAUUAGCUAGUUGGUGAGGUAACGGCUCACCAAGGCAACGAUGCGUAGCCAACCUGAAAGGGUGAUCGGCCACACUGGGACUGAGACACGGCCCAAACUCCUACGGGAGGCAGCAUUAGGGAAUCUUCCGCAAUGGACGAAAGUCUGACGGAGCAACGCCGCGAGAGUGAUGAAGGUUUUCGGAUCGUAAAACUCUGUUGUUAGGGAAGAACAAGUACCGUUCGAAUAGGGCGGUACCUUGACGGUACCUAACCAGAAAGCCACGGCUAACUACGUGCCAGCAGCCGCGGUAAUACGUAGGUGGCAAGCGUUGUCCGGAAUUAUGGGGCGUAAAGCGCGCGCAGGCGGUUUCUUAAUUCUGAUGUGAAAGCCCCCGGCUCAACCGGGGAGGGUCAUUGGAAACUGGGGAACUUGAGUGCAAAAAA
rnacentral:rRNA from 2 species